ensembl:lncRNA
CUUAUCCUUCCUGCUGCUUCAGAAGCCCAGUGAGGAAAUAGUAAAGAUGAUGCUGAACCAGCCCUGCCAUUCUUAGGGCCAAUUCACCACCAUCAGCCUGUUGCACUGGCACAUAAAGCAUGAUAAGCUGCCAGGGGAGCACAUCAAGUUCCUGCUGAUCAAAAAACAGCCUCCCUCACAGGCAAAGCCUGAGGAGCUCCAGCAACAGGUUGGCCCAGCUGACCCUGGAGCAGAUCCUGGAGCACCUGGACAACCUGCAGCUCAAUCUGGCCAACACCAAGCAGAACUUUGUUAGCGAGAAUUAAUACUUUACUGUAGAAUGCACGGGAAAGCUGUGAGAAAGACCACAAGGUGAACUUCAGUAUCCUCUUCUCCCUGGGGAAGGACUAGGAGGACUCUUCCACUAAGCCACACAAGAGCUAGUGAAAGGCAGAUCUGUUCAGCUCUCCAAGUUGGAAGAAUGCCAGUUAGCCUCCCAAGGCUGAGGAGGAUAGGCUCCUGCAGUGCUUAGGAGAAAGAAGACACAAAACCCAAACCCAACAAGCAGAAAUGAAAAGGGCUCUCUGCAGUGGAUUCUGACAAUGACUGAGGCCCUGUGUUCCCAUGCCACUCCAGUUGGACUGCCCUCUUUCCUGGUGAAUCAUAAGGGGCUUGUAGCUAAGAGUUUGCCUGAAAUCUCAGAGGAGUCUUUGGACAUGGACUUUUCAGCAAAGCUGAAACUAUUAGGACUUUGGCAACUCUUAGAAAUGGACUAAAUGCCUUUUGUGUAAAGGAAUGUACAUAAGUCUUUGGGGGGCCAGGGGAGGAAUGUUAUAGUUUGUGUCUAGAUGCCUCCCCAAAGCUUCACAUGGUCAUAGGUGGGGCUUUUUUUAGAGGUGGCUGGAUCUAGAAUGUGUGAUGCUGGAAUUGAUUCAUGGUGCAAUGCUAGGAUCAAGGACACUAGGAUUAAGAGUAGGAUUAAGAGUGUGAGUGCUACCUGCCUUAAGUAGACUAAAUAAGAUAUAAGGGAUAGAAAUAGCUGUGGUCUCCCCUUGCUUGCUUUUGCUAUCUUCUGCUGCUAUGAACUAUUUUUCCUCUGUGAUGACCCUCUCCCAAGCCAUCCUGGCUUAGAGACAGCUGAUUAUGGAGUGAAACCUCUAAAAACUGUGAUCAAAUAAAC